rnacentral:rRNA from 1 species
UGGGGAAUUUUGGACAAUGGGCGAAAGCCUGAUCCAGCAAUGCCGCGUGCAGGAAGAAGGCCUUCGGGUUGUAAACUGCUUUUGUACGGAACGAAAAGGCUCUUUCUAAUAAAGAGGGCCCAUGACGGUACCGUAAGAAUAAGCACCGGCUAACUACGUGCCAGCAGCCGCGGUAAUACGUAGGGUGCGAGCGUUAAUCGGAAUUACUGGGCGUAAAGCGUGCGCAGGCGGUUCUAUAAGACAGAUGUGAAAUCCCCGGGCUCAACCUGGGAAUGGCAUUUGUGACUGUAGAGCUAGAGUACGGUAGAGGGGGAUGGAAUUCCGCGUGUAGCAGUGAAAUGCGUAGAUAUGCGGAGGAACACCGAUGGCGAAGGCAAUCCCCUGGACCUGUACUGACGCUCAUGCACGAAAGCGUGGGGAGCAAACAGGAUUAGAUACCCCAGUAGUCCCUGAGCGGGCUGGCAAGGCGCAU